AUGGUGGCAGCACACCAUCGCCCCCUCGGCUGCAAGCGAUCCAGCCACCCCGCCCCUGCCUACAAGAUCAGCACCGCGGCUCCAUACCUCGCCGCCUACAAGGACUAUGAGGACGACGAGAGCAUUUGUAUAGGGCAGCUGAUCUUCUCAUUGGUUUCAUUGGGGUUGUAUGCAAGGUCUCAAAAGAUGAGGAUGUAUGAAGGAUUUGGCCGUGAACUCAAUGUGACCAUUGGAUUGAAGUUGAAGAAGGACGUGCAUUAUCAGCUCUUAUGUAUUGUCUUAAUAACCGUUGAUAGGAAUGGCAACUAUGUUGAGAUGUGUUCUAUCAGAAAACAUAUUGAGGCAUUGGAAGAAAUUGACAUGGUGUACAAGAAGGAGCUGGCUUUACAGUCUGGCAUUAAGCACCGGGGAGGAAUUCCUUCUUUAGGUGGUGAACUCACAUUCAUUUCAGAUCAUGUGGAUGUUACCAAAAUCUUGCCUUAUGUUGCAGUUUCCAACCGCAGAGGCUCGUUAUAUGCAUGUGGUUUCCUCAACCUGGAGUUAAAUACAGGCUUGUCACUGAAUGAGCUUAUAUCACUCUUUGUGUCAUUGAAUAAGCUUAUAUCACUCAAAAGUCAAAACAUACUGGUGCAAACGAGCAAGGCUUUGUUUAAUAGAAGCAUCAAGACCAAAUAUUGA
rnacentral:rRNA from 1 species